UUAAGCGACUAAGCGUACACGGUGGAUGCCCUGGCAGUCAGAGGCGAUGAAGGACGUGCUAAUCUGCGAUAAGCGUCGGUAAGGUGAUAUGAACCGUUAUAACCGGCGAUUUCCGAAUGGGGAAACCCAGUGUGAUUCGUCACACUAUCAUUAACUGAAUCCAUAGGUUAAUGAGGCGAACCGGGGGAACUGAAACAUCUAAGUACCCCGAGGAAAAGAAAUCAACCGAGAUUCCCCCAGUAGCGGCGAGCGAACGGGGAGGAGCCCAGAGCCUGAAUCAGUGUGUGUGUUAGUGGAAGCGUCUGGAAAGGCGCGCGAUACAGGGUGACAGCCCCGUACACAAAAAUGCACAUGCUGUGAGCUCGAUGAGUAGGGCGGGACACGUGGUAUCCUGUCUGAAUAUGGGGGGACCAUCCUCCAAGGCUAAAUACUCCUGACUGACCGAUAGUGAACCAGUACCGUGAGGGAAAGGCGAAAAGAACCCCGGCGAGGGGAGUGAAAAAGAACCUGAAACCGUGUACGUACAAGCAGUGGGAGCACGCUUAGGCGUGUGACUGCGUACCUUUUGUAUAAUGGGUCAGCGACUUAUAUUCUGUAGCAAGGUUAACCGAAUAGGGGAGCCGAAGGGAAACCGAGUCUUAACUGGGCGUUAAGUUGCAGGGUAUAGACCCGAAACCCGGUGAUCUAGCCAUGGGCAGGUUGAAGGUUGGGUAACACUAACUGGAGGACCGAACCGACUAAUGUUGAAAAAUUAGCGGAUGACUUGUGGCUGGGGGUGAAAGGCCAAUCAAACCGGGAGAUAGCUGGUUCUCCCCGAAAGCUAUUUAGGUAGCGCCUCGUGAAUUCAUCUCCGGGGGUAGAGCACUGUUUCGGCAAGGGGGUCAUCCCGACUUACCAACCCGAUGCAAACUGCGAAUACCGGAGAAUGUUAUCACGGGAGACACACGGCGGGUGCUAACGUCCGUCGUGAAGAGGGAAACAACCCAGACCGCCAGCUAAGGUCCCAAAGUCAUGGUUAAGUGGGAAACGAUGUGGGAAGGCCCAGACAGCCAGGAUGUUGGCUUAGAAGCAGCCAUCAUUUAAAGAAAGCGUAAUAGCUCACUGGUCGAGUCGGCCUGCGCGGAAGAUGUAACGGGGCUAAACCAUGCACCGAAGCUGCGGCAGCGACACUAUGUGUUGUUGGGUAGGGGAGCGUUCUGUAAGCCUGUGAAGGUGUGCUGUGAGGCAUGCUGGAGGUAUCAGAAGUGCGAAUGCUGACAUAAGUAACGAUAAAGCGGGUGAAAAGCCCGCUCGCCGGAAGACCAAGGGUUCCUGUCCAACGUUAAUCGGGGCAGGGUGAGUCGACCCCUAAGGCGAGGCCGAAAGGCGUAGUCGAUGGGAAACAGGUUAAUAUUCCUGUACUUGGUGUUACUGCGAAGGGGGGACGGAGAAGGCUAUGUUGGCCGGGCGACGGUUGUCCCGGUUUAAGCGUGUAGGCUGGUUUUCCAGGCAAAUCCGGAAAAUCAAGGCUGAGGCGUGAUGACGAGGCACUACGGUGCUGAAGCAACAAAUGCCCUGCUUCCAGGAAAAGCCUCUAAGCAUCAGGUAACGUCAAAUCGUACCCCAAACCGACACAGGUGGUCAGGUAGAGAAUACCAAGGCGCUUGAGAGAACUCGGGUGAAGGAACUAGGCAAAAUGGUGCCGUAACUUCGGGAGAAGGCACGCUGAUAUGUAGGUGAAGCGACUUGCUCGUGGAGCUGAAAUCAGUCGAAGAUACCAGCUGGCUGCAACUGUUUAUUAAAAACACAGCACUGUGCAAACACGAAAGUGGACGUAUACGGUGUGACGCCUGCCCGGUGCCGGAAGGUUAAUUGAUGGGGUCAGCGCAAGCGAAGCUCUUGAUCGAAGCCCCGGUAAACGGCGGCCGUAACUAUAACGGUCCUAAGGUAGCGAAAUUCCUUGUCGGGUAAGUUCCGACCUGCACGAAUGGCGUAAUGAUGGCCAGGCUGUCUCCACCCGAGACUCAGUGAAAUUGAACUCGCUGUGAAGAUGCAGUGUACCCGCGGCAAGACGGAAAGACCCCGUGAACCUUUACUAUAGCUUGACACUGAACAUUGAGCCUUGAUGUGUAGGAUAGGUGGGAGGCUUUGAAGUGUGGACGCCAGUCUGCAUGGAGCCGACCUUGAAAUACCACCCUUUAAUGUUUGAUGUUCUAACGUUGACCCGUAAUCCGGGUUGCGGACAGUGUCUGGUGGGUAGUUUGACUGGGGCGGUCUCCUCCUAAAGAGUAACGGAGGAGCACGAAGGUUGGCUAAUCCUGGUCGGACAUCAGGAGGUUAGUGCAAUGGCAUAAGCCAGCUUGACUGCGAGCGUGACGGCGCGAGCAGGUGCGAAAGCAGGUCAUAGUGAUCCGGUGGUUCUGAAUGGAAGGGCCAUCGCUCAACGGAUAAAAGGUACUCCGGGGAUAACAGGCUGAUACCGCCCAAGAGUUCAUAUCGACGGCGGUGUUUGGCACCUCGAUGUCGGCUCAUCACAUCCUGGGGCUGAAGUAGGUCCCAAGGGUAUGGCUGUUCGCCAUUUAAAGUGGUACGCGAGCUGGGUUUAGAACGUCGUGAGACAGUUCGGUCCCUAUCUGCCGUGGGCGCUGGAGAACUGAGGGGGGCUGCUCCUAGUACGAGAGGACCGGAGUGGACGCAUCACUGGUGUUCGGGUUGUCAUGCCAAUGGCACUGCCCGGUAGCUAAAUGCGGAAGAGAUAAGUGCUGAAAGCAUCUAAGCACGAAACUUGCCCCGAGAUGAGUUCUCCCUGACUCCUUGAGAGUCCUGAAGGAACGUUGAAGACGACGACGUUGAUAGGCCGGGUGUGUAAGCGCAGCGAUGCGUUGAGCUAACCGGUACUAAUGAACCGUGAGGCUUAACCU
rnacentral:rRNA from 1 species